GGACUACCGGGGUAUCUAAUCCCGUUCGCUACCCUGGCUUUCGCGUCUCAGCGUCAGGUGGGGUCCAGGAGCCCGCUUUCGCCACGGGCGUUCCUUCCGAUCUCAACGCAUUUCACCGCUCCACCGGAAGUUCCGGCUCCCCCUACCCCCCUCCAGGCCGGUCGUAUCGGCGCCCAUUCCCCGGUUGAGCCGGGGGCUUUCAACGUCCGACGUGCCGGCCCGCCUACACGCGCUUUAAGCCCAGUGAUUCCGAAUAACGUUCGCACGGUUCGUCUUACCGCGGCGGCUGGCAC
rnacentral:rRNA from 1 species